UACGUAGGUGGCAAGCGUUGUCCGGAUUUAUUGGGCGUAAAGGGCGCGUAGGCGGCCACGCACGUCCGUUGUGAAAUCGCCCGGCUCAACUGGGCGGGGUCAGCGGAUACGGUGUGGCUCGAGCAAGCUAGGGGGCAAUGGAACUCCCGGUGUAGUGGUGGAAUGCGUAGAUAUCGGGAAGAACACCAGUGGCGAAGGCGGUUGCCUGGAGCUUUGCUGACGCUGAUGCGCGAAAGCGUGGGGAGCGAUCCGG
rnacentral:rRNA from 1 species